GAUGUGCAGGAAGUAUAUUGCUACUGAAACGGUGGAGCUAAAGGAAGGCCUUGUGGAACAGUUUUUUUCAUGAAAUGGAACCCUUUAUAGGCAAACAAGGACUGCCAGUUUGCCUAAACAGAGGUGUUGUUGAAUUAAUUGCUGACCAUGUAGUUUGUGAAGAAGGGAAGCCUUUCACCAGAAGCAGCACACACUCUGAUUACAGUAACUUUACAUGCUGGCUGGCAAUGGCAGCAAGGCCAAAGCGAUAAAGACCUCACCCCUCAUACCUCACAUCUCAGCACUGCAUCUUCGGUCCUGAACUACCGAAGUCGUGUCUGUUACCUACAUCGACUCUAGCUCUGGCAAGCGAGGAUGGUAAGAGAAUAAAAGACCUGUUUCUUCCGUGCAAUCGUCUUUGUGAUGAACUGAUUCUGCUUACUUGAGGAUUUGCGUUGAGUUCACAUCAUUUACUUUGCGAUCCAUGAUGUCCAAUUUAAGAAUAGUGGUUGCGUGAUGGGGAUAUUUUAAUCAAUCUGUGUAAAAUUUAGCUUUCAGGACAGGGCAUCAGCAGCAGUACUGAUCAGCAGGGUGUUGAUUUAGGAGUUUUAGGCGGUUUUCUGUAAUUGAUAUGUGCAGCCCUCUGCUUUGAUGAACUGCCAGUUUCGGUUAGGGCGUACUCCCUUUGAUCGGGAUCUGAUCAUACCCUUUGAGGCGGGCUCUUUAUUGAGUAGUGAUUUAUUAUCGGAUUAUUGUGCUUCAGGCUAGUUUUCCAUGCAGAGAUGGAUCAAUAAUGCUAAUACACAGAUUUUUACCCUGAUCAGUCCGCUCGCAGAUGCACAACUUUUUUUCUUCCAAAGCUGCUCAUAUAAGGUGCUUUUCUCAAGCUAUCGUAGAUCUGAUCAUAUAGUGGCAUAUAUGCUUCCUGCUCCUGAUUAUCAUUUUAGGCGCCUCAUAAGUAAUAAUGUUAUCAUUCUAAGCACCUCAUAAGUUCUUACAUCCUAAUUUGUUCUCAAUCACCGGUACUAUUUUGAUUUCCCUUCCAACUUUCUGAAAUCUAUUUCAUCUUGAAGAAAAAGUGUGAUGGAGAGUGUUCUCAAAUAAAAAGUAGAAGUAGAAGAGCUGCAAAGUAGCAUACUGCUCUCAAAGAAGCUCUGAUUUAGUUUCUUGAUUCAGUAGGAAUGCUUUUUAGAUAAUAUAGGAGACUGAGAGGUUCCAUUCUUUGGUCUCUCAGUGUCAUUUUCUACGGAGUUAUCCGCUGUAAAUUUCACAUAUUUAUCCAGAGGCCACAAUCUCUCCAAUGUGAUUAUCCACUCCCCGCCCCCUCCAUAGAACAAUUCUCCUAUAUUUUUAUUUAUUUAUUAUACAUAUUUCCGCGUGUAAUCUUGGUUUAGUGCAUUUCUGGUGCAGUGGUGACAUGAUGUGAUUACACUUGUUAAUAACUAGAUUGACAGUUUGCCGAUCAUUUAGAACAUCAAUUAGCUAACGAAAUUUGAUGAUGGGCCACUGCACACAAUUUAUACUGCGCACUUGUUUGCUCACGCCUCUCCCCUCAUCAAGGUCUGAACUCCAGCUUCACCCUUUCCGCUGAGUAGUACCAGGUAACUCGUGAGACUGUUCUUUUUCUGUUUUAGUUUUUAUAUUUUUAGGACUUUUGUCUGCAGUUAGUGUUAUAAGAAUCACCUUUAACUUGAAAUAAAUGAAUGCUAGCAUGUUCCAUUUGAACUGAUUAACAAGUGCAGUUCAUAGAUCUAUAUCUAGGUGCAUCUAGUUGUUUUUUACAGUAAAAUCACCUAGAUAUGGUUAGUUAAUAUUUAGGAGAGUGGGGAUUACAUGAUUGUCCUUGUAGCCAGUACCUAUGUGGUUCAAGCUAAAUGUUAUUUUUCAUUCUAUUUCUUUCUUGGUUUUUUAUAGUCUUACUAUCCACCACCCUAACGAUCCAUUCUCUAGAUUUCAUUCUCUUUAAUUAUGUUGGAUUUAGGAAAUAAUGGUCAGGUGCAUUGCAGGUACAGGGAACACCAUUUGUACAAUUACAGGUUGCAACAAGAAAGUUCUGGUUACAUCUCAAUGGCAAUUAAUUGUAUCAUCAUAUUCGUGCAAAUAAAGAGGUACCCGUUCCUACUGUUACAGAAUCAAAGAAGCCUUUAAUUUUCUUACUAUUUACUUCCUGCUAACUGUUUAACUAUGACCCAUCUGAAUGUAAAUUCGAGAAAACAAAACUUUUAGUAUUAAGCACAAGAAAGGCUUGACAUCGUCUAGCUCAGGUCCCAUGUUGGUUCAUGUCUUAAAUAGGGCAUCACCAUCUGUGAUGGAAUGGAGGACAUCCAUGCUUGGCAUUUUGAUCCGCGCGGCCUUUUCUCAGUCAAGUCUGCAUACAAGGUUGGGGUUCAGCUGAGGGACAGAAGAUUGGGCAGAGAUGCUGCAUGCCCCAAGGAGAAUCUGGCAAACAGCACUGUAAAAUUUGAUUGGAACCAUAUUUGGUCUCUAAAAACCAUAUUUGGCUUCCUCACAAUAGCUUGGCCAACAGAAUGAAAAUCCGAAGGCUUGGGGUGGACCUCGAUA